rnacentral:misc_RNA from 1 species
GAUGAAGAACGUAGCGAAAUGCGAUAAGUAAUGUGAAUUGCAGAAUUCAGUGAAUCAUCGAAUCUUUGAACGCACAUUGCGCCCGCCAGUAUUCUGGCGGGCAUGCCUGUUCGAGCGUCAUUACAACCCUCAGGCCCCCGGGCCUGGCGUUGGGGAUCGGCGGAAGCCCCCUGCGGGCACAACGCCGUCCCCCAAAUACAGUGGCGGUCCCGCCGCAGCUUCCAUUGCGUAGUAGCUAACACCUCGCAACUGGAGAGCGGCGCGGCCACGCCGUAAAACACCCAACUUCUGAAUGUUGACCUCGAAUCAGGUAGGAAUACCCACUGAACUUAAGCAUAUCAAUAAGCGGAGGA